AACGCUAGCUACAGGCUUAACACAUGCAAGUCGAGGGGAAACGACAUCGAAAGCUUGCUUUUGAUGGGCGUCGACCGGCGCACGGGUGAGUAACGCGUAUCCAACCUGCCCAUCACUUGGGAAUAACCUUGCGAAAGUAAGACUAAUACCCAAUGAGGUCCCACGAAGGCAUCCGAAUGGGAUUAAAGAUUUAUCGGUGAUGGAUGGGGAUGCGUCUGAUUAGCUUGUUGGCGGGGUAACGGCCCACCAAGGCGACGAUCAGUAGGGGUUCUGAGAGGAAGGUCCCCCACAUUGGAGCUGAGACACGGUCCAAACUCCUACGGGAGGCAGCAGUGAGGAAUAUUGGUCAAUGGGCGAGAGCCUGAACCAGCCAAGUAGCGUGCAGGAUGACGGCCCUAUGGGUUGUAAACUGCUUUUAUAAGGGAAUAAAGUGAGCCUCGUGAGGCUUUUUGCAUGUACCUUAUGAAUAAGGACCGGCUAAUUCCGUGCCAGCAGCCGCGGUAAUACGGAAGGUCCGGGCGUUAUCCGGAUUUAUUGGGUUUAAAGGGAGCGUAGGCCGGAGAUUAAGCGUGUUGUGAAAUGUAGACGCUCAACGUCUGCACUGCAGCGCGAACUGGUUUCCUUGAGUACGCACAAAGUGGGCGGAAUUCGUGGUGUAGCGGUGAAAUGCUUAGAUAUCACGAAGAACUCCGAUUG
rnacentral:rRNA from 1 species